GCUGCAGAUGCUGAAGAGUGUUGGUGUGACUGAAGGUGGAGGAGGACGAUAAAGACGACACCAUUGUCCUCAACGUGGCUGAAAAAAUGUCCUGAAGACGACAAGAAUGAUCUACACCUCAAAUGAGAGACAUGAGGCCAAGAGCCGGACUGGAUGUGAGAGAAAGAAGAUGUUGCGCUUCAGUACAACUUUGAGGUGACUCUCCCAUCAUCAUCAU